UCAGAGACCAGCCGUCAUCCCUCACUACCUCACUGAACGCUCUGCUAGGGUUUGCCCUAAGGUCCACCUCGUUCAAGCUCAAACCCAGUUUCGGCUCCACCUCGUUAGUUCACUCGUAGAGCUGCAGUAUCCAUCGUCGUGCCAUCAAGGCUUCUGUUGACCCUCUUUCCAGAUGGGCGAGGUUCUCGUGGUCAACAAGGGAACGGCGAUUCCGCUACCUAGCCAUCUGGGCUGUACCUUAUACUUCUUUCUGUCAUGUUUCUUUAGGGCUAUGGCCCUUGUACUCGUGGUUAUUAGAUUGUAAACUUCUAGUUGAACAGUUUUCUGCUUUUGUUGGCAUCGUGGUGUGCCUAGUUUUGUAGGGGUGAUGUUGGAAACCCCAGGACUGCGUGGUUAUA